rnacentral:tRNA from 1 species
UCCCUAAUGGCUUAGACGUAAAGCGUCUGCCUACAAUACAGAAACUCAGCUUCGAUCCCUGGGUGGGGAA